rnacentral:rRNA from 1 species
UACGUAGGGGGCUAGCGUUAUCCGGAAUUACUGGGCGUAAAGGGUGCGUAGGUGGUUUCUUAAGUCAGAGGUGAAAGGCUACGGCUCAACCGUAGUAAGCCUUUGAAACUGGGAAACUUGAGUGCAGGAGAGGAGAGUGGAAUUCCUAGUGUAGCGGUGAAAUGCGUAGAUAUUAGGAGGAACACCAGUUGCGAAGGCGGCUCUCUGGACUGUAACUGACACUGAGGCACGAAAGCGUGGGGAGCAAACAGGAUUAGAUACCCGGUAGUCCCUGAGCGGG